rnacentral:misc_RNA from 1 species
UUAACUAUUAUAUAGUACUCGGACGACAAAAAUUAAGAAUGUUGAGGUCCUCUGGCGGGCACAGACCAGCCAAAGCCAGUAGUCUUUAGACAGGCCCGCCAAAGCAACAGAGGUAUUGUAAACAAAGGGUGGGAGAUAAUACCCUAGAGGGCACAUUCUCGGUAAUGAUCCUUCCGCAGGUUCACCUACGGAACACUAACACUUAACCCCUUUCAGGAGAAGGCCGGUCAUAUCUAAAUCCAAUGGUGACAGCCAGGUUAGCUGCACUUAGGACCACCUUUGUUUGAUCUGUGGACUGCUAUAGCAGCUGCUUAUUACCUCAAGGUAUCCAAGCACAGUAAAGGUGUUGCCUAUAAUAAUAGACUGGAGUCAAGGCUUCAGUAUGGUAGAACUCUGAUAGAAA